GAUGAACGCUGGCGGCGUGCCUAAUACAUGCAAGUCGAGCGAACGGACGAGAAGCUUGCUUUUCUGAUGUUAGCGGCGGACGGGUGAGUAACACGUGGAUAACCUACCUAUAAGACUGGGAUAACUUCGGGAAACCGGAGCUAAUACCGGAUAAUAUUUUGAACCGCAUGGUUCAAAAGUGAAAGACGGUCUUGCUGUCACUUAUAGAUGGAUCCGCGCUGCAUUGGCUAGUUGGUAAGGUAACGGCUUACCAAGGCAACGAUGCAUAGCCGACCUGAGAGGGUGAUCGGCCACACUGGAACUGAGACACGGUCCAGACUCCUACGGGAGGCAGCAGUAGGGAAUCUUCCGCAAUGGGCGAAAGCCUGACGGAGCAACGCCGCGUGAGUGAUGAAGGUCUUCGGAUCGUAAAACUCUGUUAUUAGGGAAGAACAUAUGUGUAAGUAACUGUGCACAUCUUGACGGUACCUAAUCAGAAAGCCGCGGCUAACUACGU
rnacentral:rRNA from 1 species